GGAAGGGUGGCAGAGUGGUCGAUUGCACACGCUUGGAAAGCGUGCGUACCGCAAGGUACCGGAGGUUCGAAUCCUCUCCCUUCCGCCA
rnacentral:tRNA from 1 species